AGGGGCAGAGCCUGGCUCCACCUCUACUAUACCUUAUUUAAGGGCUGACUGCCCCUGAGGAAGGAAACUCUCUCUGAAGAUUGUUCUUCUUGGAGUCUUUCUUUGUGAGCCUGGGGCACAGGGAUCAACCUUCCUGCUCACAGGCUUCCAUGGCCAUGCAGAAAUUUUUUUUAAACUCCUCUUCGAGUUCCAUGUGGCAAGAAACAGCCGUUUCUGUUCUAAACUCUGCUCCACAUGCUCUCAGGUCAAUCAUGUCACUCUGAUGGAGUAAAGGUCUAAAGUAGGUCAUUGGAUAUUCACACAGUACUUCAUCAGAGCCAUCUUCCAAGGACAGGCUAUAGCACUGAAGAAAUGAGUGUGAGUCAAGAUUGCUAGUUCUUUGUCAAACUCAAGCUAUCCUGGAAUAAUCAAAUAUCCAACAUCUACAUAGAGAGCUUGGCCUGCUGAUGAGAAUUCCUUUUUGGAGUAGGAAUGA